rnacentral:misc_RNA from 1 species
GAUGAAGAACGCAGCGAAAUGCGAUAAGUAAUGUGAAUUGCAGAAUUCAGUGAAUCAUCGAAUCUUUGAACGCACAUUGCGCCCGCCAGUAUUCUGGCGGGCAUGCCUGUCUGAGCGUCAUUUCAACCCUCAUGCCCCUAGGGCGUGGUGUUGGGGAUCGGCCAAAGCCCGCGAGGGACGGCCGGCCCCUAAAUCUAGUGGCGGACCCGUCGUGGCCUCCUCUGCGAAGUAGUGAUAUUCCGCAUCGGAGAGCGAUGAGCCCCUGCCGUUAAACCCCCACCUUUCCAAGGUUGACCUCAGAUCAGGUAGGAAUACCCGCUGAACUUAAGCAUAUCAAUAAGCGGAGGA